rnacentral:lncRNA from 1 species
GGAAAUGGUCACUUUUUAGUAAUACCUUUUUAUGCAUGUUUACCCUAGGUCCAGAUUUGCAUAUGGUACACAACUUUUAGUUUCUUCAUCUUUAAUUGAAAGAACUUUCUCAAAACAUAAAUCAUCAAAGAGAAAAAGCUAGUUACCAGGGAGAUUCCCUGAUGAAUCAUAGAGUAAUGCCCAGAAAUAUUAUAUCUGCUUAGUUCAGGAAACAUACUUAAAAGAGGAACAAAUCAUAUAACAACCAACAGUGGAUCCUGAAUUUCUACUGGAAAAAAGUACAGAGAGCUUUUAUUUAUUUUCUUAACCACAGAAGCAAAUUAGGAAAUGUCUCUUAUAUGGAAUCUGUAAACAGAUUUAGAUGUAUAGGGUAUCUCUUGAGCAUGCUUGAAUUAAGAAAAUAAAUACCAUCUAAGGACAAAGUGGCCCUGUAGACGUGGCUAAGAAUAACACUGAAGAGCUCUGCAUUUCCAUCUAGGAAUUUGUACAGAGAUGAUCUUAGAUAUGAGAACUAAGGGAAACUCUACUUAUUUGACUGCAGCCAUGACAUUUUCAAAAAUAAAGGCAGUGACACUAAAAACAUAGUUGACUUCUGAUUUUUCUCUGCAUGGUGAGUGAACUGUAUGGCUAAUUUGGAAAAUCACAUCAUAUUUUUUGCUUUAUGGCCUGAUAAAAUAAAGAUUAAUGUUCACAUCCAAAAGUUUCUUCAUUGAUUCAUCAUAUUUUUAUAAUAAGCCUCAUUGUGUUUGCGAGUCUGGAGUGUCUACAUGGCAGCACACUGGGAUCAAGGAGCUAUUAGUAAAGGAAGACUUUCACAAAGAUAAUGCAAAAGGCAAGGCAGUACCCAGGGGAAGGCUGAAGUCUCCUGCUGUUUGUGGGAAUUAGAAUAAUACUCAGGAAUCAUAUAAGUGAAACAAUUAGAGGAGGAAGUACAAAUAGCACCAUGACAGGGCAGGGAAGAAAUUUCAAAAAUUGUGGAAAUAAUCAGGGGUCUGUAAAAUAAAGUUUAAGUGAAGAAUCUCAAUUUAUCUUACUUUGAUAACUGCUGUUUUUGUUCCUGAGAAACCAACAGACACUAUUAGGAAAAUGUUAAGAUUUUGAAAUUUUCAGUUCUCAAAUUAAAUUAUUUUUGUCUUCUCUGAAAAUACCCUUAAAGGGAAAAAUCCAAAAAUCUUGGAAACAGAGGAUUUCUACAAACUCCUUUUUUUAAUAGACUUUCUUUCUAAAGAUGAAACUACACAUGAAUAUAAUUGAAAGGAAAAAAAUAUUGCAAUCUUCUUAGAACUUCUUGUUCACUAUUGCUAAGGUAAAUUAAUCAAUAUAAGUUUAGGUAAUAUUUCUGAACUUAACGAAAUAUGAGAGGAGAAAAGGAAUUAAGUUUAGGGUGAGAAAAAUUAGGAAUCAAGAAUUAAGUGGGUUAGAACAACUCUCUCCUUUGCUUUUUACAUUAUAGAUAAGAAUUUUCAGAGCUUAGCAGUUGUGGAAUGAUAAAGAAACUAAUAAGAUUCUGAGUACUCAGGUGAAAGAUAUUUUAUAGGACAAUAACUUGAGGUUUAGUGUUAUGACAUAAAUUUGCUACUUCAUCUCAAGAAUAAAUAAAGCUAGUGGCAGCAGCUGAACCCUGGAUUUUUAAAAUUCUAGUACCUAAUCUAUUACAUAUUUUUCAGACCAUUUUAGGAAAUUUGUCAUCAAAAUUUAUUGAUGUCUAUCACCUCAGACUUCAAACUAAAUGAGAAAACAGUAAAUAACAUUAUUUUUAAUGAAGAAAUGAACACAGUGAUGAAUUUAUAGUGGGAAGAACACUUAGAAAUAGAACUUGUGCAGCACAAAAACAAGUAAAUGUGCUGUGAGGUGAAAACUCCCUAACAAUGUUUUUUCAUUUUUCAUUAAUGGUACAUGUUCCAUUAUACCUCAAGAGUACAUAUCUCAGGGAUCUACAAUGUACUAUCCUAGUUUCAGUGACAAUAAAAGUGGGCAAAAAAAGUUACCUAGAGUUGGAAUUUGAACUACUUAAUUCAUUUUUCACUAUUGGACUUGUAGCUCAAAUUUCAUGUCUCUGUAAGAUUUACUUAUAUUUCCAUGUUCUUUGACUCUUAUGGAAGGGACAAAAGAAACUUUUUGAAUAUGAGAAAAAUAGAGUAAGACAAGUAAAUAUAGCGAACUUCCUUCAUAUUCUCAUUAAAUCAAGGUAUAUUCUUAUAUGAAUAGCAAUGUCUUCCAAAUGUAAAAGAAAAUACUCUGUAAAAGUUAAAAAUGUAAGAAAUAGAGAAAAGGAACCUUAAACAUAUCAUCAGUCGGCUUAAGUCAAACGAAAAUAUAGCAUUAUUGUGUAUUACAAGGCUUUAAAUGAGGUAACAUUCAGAAAAUUCUGAAUAUAAAGAAGAUACAUUGUGGCAUAUUACAGUGUGCAUAUAUAUUAUUACAAUGAAUUUGUGGCACUCUCCCUUCUAAAAUUACAGUAAAAAGUAAUAGAUUGACUUGAUAAUGGCAAUCUUGGUAAUCACAAAUUUUUAAGAAAAUCACUUUUUGCUCAUUUUUUCCUUAUUUUUUCUCCUUCAUUGUGCUUUGAGUAGUGUUCAAAAAAGAUUAUUUUGGAGUCUGCUGGUGGCCUAGCAGUUAAGGGUUUGGUGUUGUCACUGCUGUGACACAGGUUUGAUCCCUGGCCCAGAAAAUUCUACUUGCUGCGGGUAUAGCCAAAAAAAAAAAAGAAAACUCAUAUGUUGAAAGAAGUUAAAAAUAUCUAUUUAUUCAAGUGCUUUGAUUCUUUAUUGCUUUCUCAUAGGCUACUAAUAAAUUUUAAAGUAUUAAACUUAGCUACCUAGGUUUCCAUGAAUAAAUUUUGAUGGACAAUAGGCAAAGAUGUGUGAUUGGCAUUUUGUGCAUAUUUAGAUUAUAAAAAUUUGAAAUACUGUGACACAAAAACUUUAAUGAAGUUACUUCAUGCACAAAAUUGCAUAUACUGAAAAUCUAUAUUUUUAAAAAUCUAGAACCACACUGUUUCAUUAGCAUGCUGUGAAUUAUAAGCUUAUUAAACGCUGUUACCCAAAGGCAUUAAUAUUUGAUAUCCUUUGCCAGAAUCAUGUAAACCAUAUUGCUGUAUGUGUUAAAACUUAAGUAGAUCAUUCUGGUGACUAUUUGGCUAUUAUGUUAACAUUCACUAUUACGAUUAUGUGCUUUUCAUAUACUACAGCAAUGUUUCUAAUCAUUAAUCAAAUCAUGUGUAUUAGUGCAGAAAAGAAAUCUCCCAAAAUAAAUCACUUUGGAAGAAAGGUCAGAUAUGCUAAAACACUUUAAAGAAGAAUAAACAGUGCCAAGAAACAAGAAGCUGCUGAUUAAGGAGAGCUCUAAUAAAUAAUAUAUAAUUCUACAUCUAGAUAUAUAAAAGCAGCUCUGAAGGAGUAGGAGGAGCAAAAAAAG